UUUAUGUGGAGGCCAAAGCAAGACAGUCAGCCAGUAAUGGCACACUUCAGUCCAGUUGGUGGCAGUAAUGCACCUUAAGUUGGUUUGCCAACCACCAUUAAACAAAAGAAGAAGAAGAGCCAACCAGUGAAUCACUGAGAGUUGUUUGUUGAAAAAUCUUGUCUGCAUUUCUUCUGUGAGACUGGAUCCAUCCAGUGGGUCUGCAAGAGAUGUUUUCAAAUGCAGCAGAAUAUCUGGUGUUCAACUAGCCAAGAAUCAUCGAAUGGAAAGAUUCUCUCAUCAGAUUGGAUGGC